GAACCGAUCCUCGGUGCGGUCCGAGGCUUGGAACGGAGAGCGAGUGGACCCGGGGUGAGGCCGGAGAUUGGGAGCUAAACUUUGGGUAAAGGUUGCAAGACCGGCCGGGUGAAUCCUUCCCAUGGCAGAGGUGAAGAGACUGGCGGAGAUUCCGUGAGAUGUUUCAGCUACACGGAGGGUGGCCGGCAUUUCCCUGCCGUGGAUCCGGGCCUAUUGUCUGCAGUUACCUCCCAGAUCUGUUUCCUGCUGUUGGGAGCCCGGAUCUGAGCCGCUGCGGCUGCCUAUGGAUGUCCGGUGCUCUCACCGCUCUCCUGUGCAAUCGGACAGGCUGAAGCCAAGGGAGAAUAAGGGGCAAAGAAGUGGAUCCCAUGCUGUGGCCUCUCCAUACCGAUAUAUCACCUUUCUCACUUUUCAUUGUUUAAGGAUGAGCACAUUACACAUGUGCUGCAUUUACUGAAAUUAUGCAGCGUGUUAAUUGAAAAUAAAGGAUCUCAUGCUUU